GCCAUGCCCUGCCCAGACUGGUACUAGUUACUUAGAAUGUACGUAACUGAGGCCUCUCUGGGUAGAGUAAGGCU
rfam:Heterocephalus glaber contig210604, whole genome shotgun sequence.